AAGGACUUGAGGAACACAAGACGCUGUUGGUCGUGUUCUUUAUUGCAGUGUUCACCCCUUUCUGGCCUGUGUUUAUUGUUGACAUGUAUUUUACUUCCACACAUAAUCCCACAGCCAUCGUUAUUUUUGCUUUGGAAAGUUAAUUGUUUUGUAAAGGAAAGAAGAGCUCAGGGGAAGAGAGGUCUUUUCAUUUGCCCACAUGUGACGGUGCCUGGAGCCUCUGCAGGUCCCAGUCUUUUCAUUGCCCACAUGUGACCGUGCCUGGAGCCUCUGCUGGUCCCUGUCUUUUCAUUGCCCACAUGUGACCGUGCCUGGAGCCUCUGCUGGUCCCAGUCUUUUCAUUGCCCACAUGUGACCGUGCCUGGAGCCUCUGCUGGUCCCAGUCUUUUCAUUGCCCACAUGUGACCGUGCCUGGAGCCUCUGCUGGUCCCUGUCUUUUCAUUGCCCACAUGUGACCGUGCCUGGAGCCUCUGCAGGUCCCAGUCUUUUCAUUGCCCACAUGUGACCGUGCCUGGAGCCUCUGCAGGUCCCAGUUUCCGUCUGUGCCAUUUCCCUUUCCUGAAGCACUUACUUCAGCAUUUGCAUUUGGUGAGGGUCUGUGGGCAGUGAAUCCUCUAGGCUUUCAUUUUUCUGAAACUGUCUUUAUUUUUUUUUAAGACAUUUUCUCUUUUUACCAGUGAAGAAGCAGCACUGAUUAUCUUCCUUUUUAAAGGCUCCUUUUGCUAGAUGGAGUCUUGUGGGUUGACUGCUUUUUUUCCCUUUUGGCACUUUAAAAGUGUCAUUCCAUCUGGUUUCCUUUGCUUCUGAUGAGUCCCUGCCAUUGUUCCCCAUAUAGAACAGGUCUUUUUCCUCUGGCUAUUGUUUUCCCUUUAUCAUGGGCAUUCAGUAAUUUGGCUCUGAUGGACAUAGUUGCCUUUUUCUUUUCCUUUAAUUUCUCCUGUUUAGGAUUCAUUGGGCUUCCUGGAAUUUUUUAAAAAUUUAAUUUUUUACAUUCUUUCUUCAACUACUUUUGGCCCCAUUUUGUCUCC